GAUGAACGCUGGCAGAAUGCUUAACACAUGCAAGUCAACUGUGGCGGACGGGUGAGUAACGCGUAAAGAACUUGCCUCACAGAUAGGGACAACAUUUGGAAACGAAUGCUAAUACCUGAUACUGUGAGAGAGCUUUGCGUCCCAUUAGCUAGUUGGAGAGGUAACGGCUCACCAAGGCGAUGAUGGGUAGCCGGCCUGAGAGGGUGAUCGGCCACAAGGGGACUGGGAAACGGCCCUUACGCAUACGGGAGGCAGCAGUGGGGAAUAGUGGAAAAUGGGCCAAAGUAUGAUCAAGCAAUUCGGUGUGCAAGAUGAAGUUUUCGGAAGGUAAAGUGCUUUCAGUUGAGAAGCGGUACCAGCAGAAGAAGUGACGGCUAAAUACGUGCCAGCAGCCGCGGUAAUAC
rnacentral:rRNA from 1 species